CUUAUGCAUCUAUAGUCAUUUUGUGAACAUAUUCUAGAUGUAUGGUACUGGUCUACAAACUGGGUGCUUUGAUACAUUUUUUGUGAGAUGUCUAGGAUGAAAUUUCUAGCAGCAUUGAUGCAUGUCACAAAACUGUCUUCAACAUUUUGAUUUUCUAUUCUUUUUAGGUUUAUAUAUGGUGACUGCUAAAAGUAUAACACAGAGUGAUUCAAUGAGGAAUCAUCAGGAAGACCAGCCCCAGUGUGGACUUGACCACCAGCUCCACAUCGGUCCCAUGACGCCUGAAACAUUAUGUUCAGAAGAACACCAUCCUCUCAACAGAGAUACCCGGUCAGUCCUCAUCAUGGCCCCGACCAUUAGUCUAGCUUGCCUCCCAUUCAGCUCCAAAUGAGUUGGCUCAAUAGAAGCUUCAAAUUUAGACAGACCUGGG
rnacentral:lncRNA from 1 species